rnacentral:sRNA from 1 species
UGCUUUGUGUUUCAUUGUAGAAUAUACUAUAAUUUAGCACCAAGUAGUUCAAUAGUUAUUUCAUUGUAGGAAUACCAUAAUUGACUUAGGAAUGGUCUUGGCGUCUAAUUUGAAAGGUCUAUAUAUGCUUUGUGUUGCAACGCAGAUUUUGAUUGAAUCCAAGAGAAGUAGAAGAAAAUCAUAAGUGAUUAAUGGAGAGCCCUUUGUUGAGCAACGAUGAUGAGCACAUCGUCGACAUCGACAUGACAGCCGAUGACUAUGCUUCAUUAAUUUAUACGCUAGUAUCAAUUCCAAUUGCAAUUGCUUUGAACUCGAUUGAGUUUGUUAUGACCUUGGUCCAGAUUGUCGUAGCCAUACUAGUUGUGAAAGGAACAAAAGGUGAAUAUCCAGAAGCAACAUGGAUCCUCGUCUAUGCUUAUGGUAGUAUUGCCAAUCUCCCUAUUCUUUGUUGGCGUUUCUGGCAGAUCCGUCAUCCUGUCUCACACUUAAGAAUCAACCGAGUCAUGUUUCGUUUGAGGACGAUAUUUGAAUGUUUCUUUGCGGGUUGGUUCGUGGUGUUCUUCUGGGUCUUUGUUUGCAGCUCAUCAUCUCUAGACCAUUCUAGUCAACUCUUCUGGUUAUGUGUGGUUUUCCUUGUUUUCGGUUGCAUUCGAUAUGUGCUCCCUAUGGUAAUAUGUGCAGCGACGUGUUGCUGUGUGUUUAUGACGUUAUGUUUUAACGCCGUUAACACUUGAGGAUCGGAGUGAUUAAACUCGUUGUGUCACUUAUCCGUGGAUUCCUUGCGAGAUACAAAUGGUGGAUCAUGUUGUUAUCUUAUUUCCUUUGCUCAAAAGUUGUUGCAAUGCUCUUUGUUUUUCUCUUUUUUGAAUGAAAUUGUUUCUUUGUUUGAAAUAAAGCCAAGUGUCAUUACUGAAUCUUCUCGUCUUGCAUGUGUAUCAAAUUAC